UAGCCUUGACAUUGAUUGAACACACUAGAGAUAGAGUGGUGCCCUUCGGGGAACAUGAAAACAGGUGCUGCACGGCUGUCGUCAGCUCGUGUCGUGAGAUGUUGGGUUAAGUCCCGCAACGAGCGCAACCCUCGUCCUUAGUUGCUAGCAGUUCGGCUGAGCACUCUAAGGAGACUGCCUUCGUAAGGAGGAGGAAGGUGAGGACGACGUCAAGUCAUCAUGGCCCUUAUGGCUAGGGCUACACACGUGCUACAAUGGGUAGUACAAAGAGAUGCGAUACCGCGAGGUGGAGCAAAUCUAUAAACCUAAUCUCAGUUCGGAUAGCAGUCUGCAACUCGACUGCUUGAAGCUGGAAUCACUAGUAAUCGUAAAUCAGCUAUGUUACGGUGAAUACGUUCCCGGGUCU
rnacentral:rRNA from 1 species